AGAUCCUGAGGGACGGAAGAGGCUAGGUUAGCCGAAAGAUGGUUUUCGGUUUAAGGAUGCAAGGUGCCACCGCUUUUUCAGGGUAAGAAGAGGUAGAGAAAAUGCCCCGAGCCAAUGUUCGAGUACCAGGCGCUACGGCGUUGAAGUAACCUAUGCCAUACUCCCAGAAAAAGGUCGAACGACCUUCAACAAAAGGG